rnacentral:rRNA from 1 species
UACGUAGGGUGCGAGCGUUGUCCGGAAUUAUUGGGCGUAAAGAGCUUGUAGGCGGUUUGUCGCGUCUGCUGUGAAAAUCCGGGGCUCAACCCCGGACUUGCAGUGGGUACGGGCAGACUAGAGUGUGGUAGGGGAGACUGGAAUUCCUGGUGUAGCGGUGAAAUGCGUAGAUAUCGUUUGGAACGCCAAUGGUGAAAACAGACAGCUGGGAGUGUGCUGACGCUGAGACACGAAAGCCAGGGGAGCGAACGGG